rnacentral:rRNA from 1 species
GAUGAACGCUAGCUACAGGCUUAACACAUGCAAGUCGAGGGGAAACGACAUCGAAAGCUUGCUUUUGAUGGGCGUCGACCGGCGCACGGGUGAGUAACGCGUAUCCAACCUGCCCACCACUUGGGGAUAACCUUGCGAAAGUAAGACUAAUACCCAAUGAUAUCUCUAGAAGACAUCUGAAAGAGAUUAAAGAUUUAUCGGUGAUGGAUGGGGAUGCGUCUGAUUAGCUUGUUGGCGGGGUAACGGCCCAACAAUGCUACGAUCAGUAGGGGUUCUGAGAGGAAGGUCCCCCACAUUGGAACUGAGACACGGUCCAAACUCCUACGGGAGGCAGCAGUGAGGAAUAUUGGUCAAUGGACGAGAGUCUGAACCAGCCAAGUAGCGUGCAGGAUGACGGCCCUAUGGGUUGUAAACUGCUUUUAUAAGGGAAUAAAGUGAGUCUCGUGAGACUUUUUGCAUGUACCUUAUGAAUAAGGACCGGCUAAUUCCGUGCCAGCAGCCGCCGUAA